AAAUUGAAGAGUUUGAUCAUGGCUCAGAUUGAACGCUGGCGGCAGGCCUAACACAUGCAAGUCGAACGGUAACAGAAAGCAGCUUGCUGCUUUGCUGACGAGUGGCGGACGGGUGAGUAAUGUCUGGGAAACUGCCUGAUGGAGGGGGAUAACUACUGGAAACGGUAGCUAAUACCGCAUAACGUCGCAAGACCAAAGAGGGGGACCUUCGGGCCUCUUGCCAUCGGAUGUGCCCAGAUGGGAUUAGCUUGUUGGUGGGGUAACGGCUCACCAAGGC
rnacentral:rRNA from 1 species